rnacentral:piRNA from 1 species
UGUCCUUACAAAGCAGCUGGAUGCUGCGUG